UUAGGCACAUUCUCCUUUGUCCUGAGAAUCUGCUAAGCCAAGGUUGGGGAGUUAAUAGUCGGAGCGUGUGCUCCUUCUCCCUUGUUCUGUUUUCUGAUGGAUCCAAGAGGCCGGUUCCGUGUGUCUGAGAAAAGCGCCAUGUAGUAGACAUGGUCUAGUGGACUCCAGAAAGAACAUUCAAAUAGGGAAAUGGAGAAAUGGGCAAACUUCCGCAUAGAACCAACAAAUCACAAGCUGUUUCAAAGCACUGGCAGUAUCAGUGAUUUCAUGGAAUCCGCACAUCCUCCCGAGAGAGCGCUUUCCCACCCGCACCUCUUGAGAUCCUCCUGAGGGUCCUGCAAGAAGACAGAACCCAAAUGAGAAGAAACCAAGCAAGAGCGCAUCGACUGUCCUAAGGCAACACCUGUGUUAGCUGGGAGUGGGAACUCUGCCCCUGUGUAGUUUCAACUCUCAGAUACUGGAAAUCUGUUUUUGGAAGCGGCAGCUUCAGGACCUAAUGAAUCUCUGCAAACUCAGGAUUACCUUUCAGCAUGCAGAGGAGAGUCAAGUGGUUUUCAGCCCAGACCCCCUCCAGCCCACAGAGCCUGCUGCACAUCAACACCUGGGCCUGGGGGGUUGGGAAGGCAAUCCAGCCUAAGGGGUGAAUUCCUGCUGCCUUCCCACAAGUGGGUGAGAGUUGAAAAGGUCAAAAGGGCACUGCUCAGGGCCUGAGAUUCUGGCGUCAGCUCUGCCACUGGAUAUCUGAGAACACCUUGAACAAGUCAAGGUGCACCUCCAUUUCCUCAUCUAUAACAGGAAGACUGGAUUAGAUAACAUCUCAGCUGCCUUCCUGAUAACCUAAAGGGGACUGGCUUGAGGACAACCGUGACACAUUAUGGGCAAUUUUUAAAAAUGUUUUUAUUAUGAAAAAUUUCAAGCAAGUUCAGCAUCAACAAAACACAACGCACCGUAUCCUUCUUUGCCUAGCCUGGUGGCUAUAAUCAUCAACAUUCUGUCUGUCUUGUUUCAUCUGUACCUCUACCCCCUCCCACUUAAUGGUUAUUUUGUACAGCUGUUUUUAGGUGAAAUUUACAAACAUUGCACUGCAGAAAUCUUAACUGUAAUAUUGACUAAUGGGUUCACUCUUGUGCACUAUACUUCUAUUACAAUAUAAAA